GGGGGGGGGGGGGGGGGGGGCGGGGGCGGGGGGGGGGGGGGAGCGGACGAGAAGGUUGCUUCUCUGAUGGUAGCGGCGGACGGGGGAGGAACACGUGGAUAACCUACCUAUAAGACUGGGAUAAAUUCGGGAAACCGGAGCGAAUACCGGAUAAUAUUUUGAACCGCAUGGUUCAAAAGUGACAGACGGUCUUGCUGUCACUUAUAGAUGGAUCCGCGCUGCAUUAGCUAGUUGGUAAGGUAACGGCUUACCAAGGCAACGAUGCAUAGCCGACCUGAGAGGGUGAGCGGCCACACUGGAACUGAGACACGGUCCAGACUCCUACGGGAGGCAGCAGUAGGGAAUCUUCCGCAAUGGGCGAAAGCCUGACGGAGCAACGCCGCGUGAGUGAUGAAGGUCUUCGGAUCGUAAAACUCUGUUAUUAGGGAAGAACAUAUGUGUAAGUAACUGUGCACAUCUUGACGGUACCUAAUCAGAAAGCCACGGCUAACUACGUG
rnacentral:rRNA from 1 species